rnacentral:lncRNA from 1 species
CGAGUUAAUGAGUUACAGUGGGGAAGAGAGUCCUAAUCACCACUGCCACAGUGAAGUUCUUUUGACAAAUGCUUAUGAGGACCUUUUCUCUCUGGUGACAGACAUGGAGUCAGGCACCCUGGCAGGGCAGCAGGGAAAAGUCUCAACCAGGGAGGACAGCAAUGCUUCCAAGCUAGAGGCAUCCAAGGAGUGGCCCAGAGAACACGUGGCUUAGGGCCUGGAAGAUUUCCAUAGCGUUCAGCGGUGGGAAUAGAACUUUGUAAGAAGCAGAGAGGAUGAACUUGUGAGAUUUUCAAGCAUGCGGCAGUGACCUGAAUGGAUUCCCUUUAGGCAAUGGAUAACUGGAUGGAGAUCCAGGAAGAGACCACCCAGACGGCGAGCUGCUUGAAGAGCCAGCCUGGUUUCUGGCAGAUAGUGUUGGUUAAUAAAUGGUGAGCACUGAACGUAUG